AUACGGAGGGUGCGAGCGUUACUCGGAGUCACUGGGCGUAAAGCGUCCGUAGGCGGUCGGGUAAGUCGGGUGUGAAAGCCCCGGGCUCAACCUGGGAAGUGCACCCGAUACUGCUCGACUCGAGUGCGGGAGAGGGUGGCGGAAUUCCCGGUGUAGCGGUGAAAUGCGUAGAGAUCGGGAGGAACACCAGUGGCGAAGGCGGCCAUCUGGCCCGCAACUGACGCUGAGGGACGAAAGCGUGGGGAGCAAACAGGAUUAGAAACCCUAGUAGUCC
rnacentral:rRNA from 1 species